CGGGAUUCGGCAAGGUGGGGUGGGGGAAGGGGAGACAAAACAGAGGAAACAGGCCGAGCAGAAGAUGAGACUGCGGCGGGGAAUCUUUGGCUUCCAUGUGGAGGCGCGAGUCCCGUUCCUGCACACGAACUCUGCAAGCAGGGAAAUCACAGAAUAGAAGAAGAAAAAAUUAAAAGACAUCAUUGGAACUUACAGAAGAAGGGCCAUGUGAAGACACAAAGAGAAGAUUGCCAUGUACAAACCAAGGAGACAGGACUCUGAAGAAACCAAAACUGCCAAUGACUUGAUCUUGGGCUUCUAGCCUUCAGAACCGUGAUAAAUAUUUUUGUUUAAGCCAGAAAUAAAAAGACAUAAUUGAUUUUUUUAAAAAGCCA
rnacentral:lncRNA from 1 species